GACGAAGGAUCCAAGCGUUAUCCGGAUUCAUUGGGUUUAAAGGGUGCGUAGGCGGGUUUGUAAGUCAGUGGUGAAAUCCUAUCGCUUAACGAUGGAACUGCCAUUGAUACUGCGGACCUAGAAUAUAGAUGAUGUUGGCGGAAUAUGACAUGUAGCGGUGAAAUGCAUAGAUAUGUCAUAGAACACCGAUUGCGAAGGCAGCUGGCUACACAAAUAUUGACACUGAGGCACGAAAGCGUGGGGAUCAAACAGG
rnacentral:rRNA from 1 species